rnacentral:rRNA from 1 species
CAAUAGCGUAUAUUAAAGUUGUUGCAGUUAAAAAGCCCGUAGUUGGAUUUCUGGUUGAAGCGACCGGUCGGGCGUUGAUUCGUCUGCACUGGAGUCGGUUUUGGCCAUCCUCUAGGAAAGUGCGUCUGGUAUUAAGUUAUCGGGCGUAUGAUCCUGGUCUUUUACUGUGAAAAAAUUAGAGUGUUUAAAGCAGGCCUUCGCCUUGAAUACAUUAGCAUGGAAUAAUAAGAUAGGACUUUGGUCUAUUUUGUUGGUUUGCAGACCGAAGUAAUGAUUAAUAGGGAUAGUUGGGGGUAUUUAUAUUCCGAUGUCAGAGGUGAAAUUCUUAGAUUUUCGGAAGAUAAACUUAUGCGAAAGCAUUUACCAAGGAUGUUUUCAUUAA